CGCCGCCGACGACGUCGCGAGAAGUCCACUGAACCUUAUCAUUUAGAGGAAGGAGAAGUCGUAACAAGGUUUCCGUAGGUGAACCUGCGGAAGGAUCAUUGUCGAUGCCUGCAAAGCAGAACGACCCGCGAACCGUUUCUCAACACUCGGGACGCCCUCCGGCAUCCCGACGCUUCGGACGCUGCUGGUGGUGCGAGCCACCUCCGGUGGACGGAGCAUCAAACACAACCCCGGCGURCAAAGCGCCGAGGUACUCCAACGUAGGGCAAGCACCCGUCGGCCUGGACUCCAGUGCACGAUCGGGUGUAUGUUCGAUGGCAUAAAUCUAACGACUGUGUGAAUUGCAGAAUCCCGUGAACCAUCGAGUCUUUGAACGCAAGUUGCGCCCGAAGCCUUGGCUGAGGGCACGCCUGCCUGGGUGUCACACGUCGCUCUGCCUCCAACACCUUUCCCCUCGUAACAUCGUGGUGAUGGUUUGGAUGCGGAAGAUGGCCUCCCGUGACCACGAGCCACGGAUGGCCCAAGUUCAUGCCGGGGAAGCGAAGCACCAUGGCUUUCGGUGGUCGGUAUAGCCUCUGUGGCAAUGAAGCCCGUGGUCGCCGCGACUGUCUCCGGUAUAAGACCCCAAAUCAUUAAUGAAUGCGACCUCAGGUCAGGCGGGGCUACCCGCUGAGUUUAAGCAUAUCAAUAAGCGGAGG
rnacentral:rRNA from 1 species